GCGGAAGGCUGGAUGACCGCGGAGAGGGAUCUUCGAGGAAAGUCCGGACUCCCCGAAGCAACGGUGCCGGGUAAUUCCCGGGCGGGGGAACCCGACGGAAAGCGCCACAGAAAAAAAACCGCUCGGAUUGAGAGUAAGGGUGAAAUGGUGGAGUAAGAGCCCACCGCACUUUUGGUAACAAGGGUGGCACGGCAAGCCCCACCGGGAGCAAUGUCAAAUAGGACCCCCAUAUGAUGGUUCAAUUGAUUGAACGCAAUCAUUAGGCGGCUUCGGCUGAGUGGGGUCGGGUCGACAGCUUGAGGCCUGUGAGUAAUUGCAUGGUCCAGAGGAAUGGUCAUCAACCGCAAUGAAGCGGGAACAGAAUCCGGCUUAUAGGUCGUCCGCACAG
rnacentral:RNase_P_RNA from 1 species